AUUGAAUGAAAAAAAUCUCGUAUUGAACUAGUUUGUUUUAUUUUAUGCAGAGUCAAAAGGUUUAACAUAAGCUGGUAUUUUCUCAACAAGUGAAGUGUUAUCCUGGAAGGGGUUUUACUAUGUAGUCCUGUCUAAGUGGGGACACUGUAACUAUUCAAUUCAGGCUGGCCUCAAAUGCAGAGAGAUCUACCUUCCUGUCUGUUUGAAUUCUGGGAAUAAAGGAAAACGUUAUUUACAUCUGGCUGGUCUGUAAUUUGCAAUGCAGACCAGGGUGGCCUAAAAUUCAAGGAGAUCAAUUGGUCUGAUUGGGAAUCAAUCUCGCCCAAGAUCCAGCUAUACCACUUUGGGCAUAUACCCAAGGAAUGCCCAUUCAUACCACAAGGUCACUUGCUCAGCUAUGUUCAUAUUAGCAUUGUUUGUAAUAGCCAGAACCUGGAAACAGCCUAGAUGCCCUUCAACUGAAGAAUGGAUAAAUAAAUUGUGGUACAUAUACACAAUGGAAUACUACUCAGCAGAGAAAAACAAUGACAUCAUGAGGUUUGCAAGCAAAUGGAUGGAUCUAGAAAACAUCAUCCUGAGUGAGGUAACCCAGACUCAGAAAGACAAACAUGGUAUGUACUCACUCUUAAGAGGAUACUAGAUGUGGAACAAAGAUGACUGGACUGCUACUCACAACACCAGGGAGGCUACCUGGAAAACAUGACCCCAAGAAAGAUACAGGGAUCGUCCAAUGAUGGAGUAAUGAAAGAGAUCUAUAUGAACAGCCUGGAUGUGAGUGGGGUUAUUGAAGGACGAGGGUCGAGGGAAAGACAGCUUGGGGGAGCGGGAGAUCCCAGAUGGAUCAACAACAGAGAGGGAGAACAAGGAAUAGGAGACCAUGGUAAAUGAAGACCACAUGAGAAUAGGAAGAAGCAAAGUGCUAGAGAGGCCCACAGAAAUCCACAAAAAUGUCCCCAAAAUAGACUACUCUCAAUGGUUAACAGACUGCCCGAACUGACAUACUCUGGUGAUAGGAUGGCCAAACACCCUAAUUGCUGUGAUAGAAACCCCAUCCAAUGACUGAGGGAACUGGAUGCAGAGAUCCACGGCUAGGCCCCGAAUGGAGCUCCGGGAGUCCAAUUAGCAACAAAGAGGAGGGUUUAUAUGAGCGAGAAUUGUUGAGACCAAGGUUGGAUAAAGCACAGGGACAAAUAGCCAAACGAAUCAAAACACAUGAACUAUGAACCAAUGGCUGAGGAGCCUCCAACUUGAUCAGGCCCUCUGAAUGUGUGAGACAGUUGAUUGGCUUCAUCUGUUUGGGAGUCACCCAGACAGUGGUACAGGGUCCUAUGCUCAGUGCAUGAGAUGGCUGUUUGAAGCCUGGGGCUUAUGCAGGGAAGCUUGGCUCAGCCUGGGAGGAGGGGACUGGACCUGCCUGG